UGCUGGAGGUAUCAGAAGUGCGAAUGCUGACAUAAGUAACGAUAAAGCGGGUGAAAAGCCCGCUCGCCGGAAGACCAAGGGUUCCUGUCCAACGUUAAUCGGGGCAGGGUGAGUCGACCCCUAAGGCGAGGCCGAAAGGCGUAGUCGAUGGGAAACAGGUUAAUAUUCCUGUACUUGGUGUUACUGCGAAGGGGGGACGGAGAAGGCUAUGUUAGCCGGGCGACGGUUGUCCCGGUUUAAGCAUGUAGGCUGAUUAUCCAGGCAAAUCCGGAUAAUCAAGGCUGAGGUGUGAUGACGAGGCACUACGGUGCUGAAGUAACAAAUGCCCUGCUUCCAGGAAAAGCCUCUAAGCAUCAGGUAACAUCAAAUCGUACCCCAAACCGACACAGGUGGUCAGGUAGAGAAUACCAAGGCGCUUGAGAGAACUCGGGUGAAGGAACUAGGCAAAAUGGUGCCGUAACUUCGGGAGAAGGCACGCUGGUGUGUAGGUGAAGCCCCUGCGGGUGGAGCUGAGACCAGUCGAAGAUACCAGCUGGCUGCAACUGUUUAUUAAAAACACAGCACUGUGCAAACACGAAAGUGGACGUAUACGGUGUGACGCCUGCCCGGUGCCGGAAGGUUAAUUGAUGGGGUUAUCCGUAAGGAGAAGCUCUUGAUCGAAGCCCCGGUAAACGGCGGCCGUAACUAUAACGGUCCUAAGGUAGCGAAAUUCCUUGUCGGGUAAGUUCCGACCUGCACGAAUGGCGUAAUGAUGGCCAGGCUGUCUCCACCCGAGACUCAGUGAAAUUGAACUCGCUGUGAAGAUGCAGUGUACCCGCGGCAAGACGGAAAGACCCCGUGAACCUUUACUAUAGCUUGACACUGAACAUUGAGCCUUGAUGUGUAGGAUAGGUGGGAGGCUUUGAAGCGUGGACGCCAGUCUGCGUGGAGCCAACCUUGAAAUACCACCCUUUAAUGUUUGAUGUUCUAACGUUGGCCCCUGACCGGGGUUGCGGACAGUGUCUGGUGGGUAGUUUGACUGGGGCGGUCUCCUCCCAAAGCGUAACGGAGGAGCACGAAGGUUAGCUAAUCCUGGUCGGACAUCAGGAGGUUAGUGCAAUGGCAUAAGCUAGCUUGACUGCGAGCGUGACGGCGCGAGCAGGUGCGAAAGCAGGUCAUAGUGAUCCGGUGGUUCUGAAUGGAAGGGCCAUCGCUCAACGGAUAAAAGGUACUCCGGGGAUAACAGGCUGAUACCGCCCAAGAGUUCAUAUCGACGGCGGUGUUUGGCACCUCGAUGUCGGCUCAUCACAUCCUGGGGCUGAAGUAGGUCCCAAGGGUAUGGCUGUUCGCCAUUUAAAGUGGUACGCGAGCUGGGUUUAGAACGUCGUGAGACAGUUCGGUCCCUAUCUGCCGUGGGCGCUGGAGAAUUGAGGGGGGCUGCUCCUAGUACGAGAGGACCGGAGUGGACGCAUCACUGGUGUUCGGGUUGUCAUGCCAAUGGCACUGCCCGGUAGCUAAAUGCGGAAGAGAUAAGUGCUGAAAGCAUCUAAGCACGAAACUUGCCCCGAGAUGAGUUCUCCCUGAGACUUUAAGUCUCCUGAAGGAACGUUGAAGACGACGACGUUGAUAGGCCGGGUGUGUAAGCGCAGCGAUGCGUUGAGCUAACCGGUACUAAUGAACCGUGAGGCUUAACCUUACAACGCCGAAG
rnacentral:rRNA from 1 species